CGGGGUGAGUAAUGCUUGGGAAUCUAGCUUAUGGAGGGGGAUAACUACGGGAAACUGUAGCUAAUACCGCGUAGAAUCGGGAGAUGAAAGUGUGGGACCUUCGGGCCACAUGCCAUAGGAUGAGCCCAAGUGGGAUUAGGUAGUUGGUGAGGUAAAGGUUCACCAAGCCGACGAUCUCUAGCUGGUCUGAGAGGAUGACCAGCCACACUGGGACUGAGACACGGCCCAG
rnacentral:rRNA from 1 species